rnacentral:lncRNA from 1 species
UUGUGAUCUGACCAGUAAUUUUAAUAUUUUCUGCUGAACAUGAAGGAAUGGGGUACUCCGUUCAGCUUUUUCAUUUGUUAGCUGAACUUGCUAGUUGAAUAAAGAGAGAAAUUGUCAGUUAGGUAAUUUAGAUCAACACUUUGUUGUUGUUGUUUUUUGCUUUUUUUUUGCUUUUCAGGGUUCCUGAGCAGAAGGGAAAAUGAGCUUAAACAUGAGGCUUGGAGGAGAAAGAAGGGCUGGGGAGAAAUAUGAAUGUCUAUUAGAAUCAUCCAGAGCAUGGAUUGGACUGAUGCUGAAGCUCCAGUACUUUGGCCACCUGAUGAGAAGAGCUGACUCCCUGGAAGAGACCCUGAUGCUUUGAAAGAUUGAGGGCAAGAGGAAAAGGGGGUGACAGAGGAUGAGAUAGUUGGAUGGCAUCACAGACUCAAUGGACAUGAGUUUAAGCAAACUCCGGGAGAUAGUCAAGGACAGGGGAGCCUGAUGUGCUGCAGCCCAUGGGGUCACAAAGAGUUGGACAUGACUGAGUGACUGAACAACAACAACAACGCACACAGAUUGGGAAAGUCCCAAAUUUCAAUCAUCUCUAUGGAAUGGCCUUGAAACAGCAAUGCUCAUGACUACUUAUGAAAUAUCUUCUGUGACAGACAGAUAAUAGACACUCCACCCAUCCUGUCUUAUAAAAAGUAUCUUAUUAUAAAAUGACAAACAUAUAGAAAACAAGAAUAUUAUAAAACCAUGGGUACACAUUAGUCAUUUUCCAUUUGAUAAGGUCUUUUAAAAUGUAAUAAAAUAUUAUUGAAAUAAUUGAAUUCUCCUGUGUGUCUCUUUCCAAUCCUAUUCUCUCCUUACUUUUCCCAGAGGUAGCCAACAUCCUGAACUUGAUACAUUCCUAUGUAUAUAUCACAUUUGUAUGGCUUUGUAUAUUUUAAAAGUUACUUUAUAAUACCAUAAUUUUCACUAAAAAUUAUAUUUUGAUAUAUGUCUACAUUGCUGCAUGUAGGACCAAGUUACUUUAUGUAAAACUUCUUUAUAAGUAUAUUUUAUUGAUCUGUUCCACUAAUGUUGGACGUUUCUUUUCAGUUCUUUAAUAAUAUAAUGUGGGAAUGAGCAGUUUUAAACCUCUCUCCUGCUUGGUUUGAGUGUGCUCUUACUCCUUCUUGCUGUGGUGCUGCUCAGUGAGUACUCUUGUGUACCCACUGGGGCUCACACCCAGUGAAUUUCAGACAUCCUUCCCCCUGACAUGAAGGUGACUUCUAGCAAAUAGAGCAGCUGCCCCAGUAAGCAGUUUCCUGCUGAGUUCCCAGGCAGUCUGGCCAGCUUCUCAGAAAGUUCAGUAGCAUUUCUUAUAGGAAGAUAACUUGGAAUGUUUAUGAGCACCCCACCACCUGCCCGAGCUCAUGGGUAGCCUGGGCUUGCUACACCUUACCAGAAUUAAAGCCCAGAUUUGAAUAAAUUCAUUUUCUAAUUGGAUUAAGAUAAUCUGAAGAUUGGCAGUGGUCCGAGCCUGUCUUUUUACCAGAAAUCAAUGUACACCACUAGUGCUACC